AAAAAUACCAUUCGUCGUCGUGUAAUGUUUUUAAAAGUAACAUGGUCCGUGCUUCCAGAGUUCUAUAUUUAUAUCUCGUGCCUCACGAAUAGUUGAUGUCAGUAGCAGCGCCAACAGUUCAGUUACUCAGUGAACACAAUUAAAGUUUGAUAUAUUGUUUAUUUAUAUGCUAAGCUGUUCAGUCCGGACUGUGGACUAGUACACGAGCUUGUAGCUCCAUCACUUCAUAUAACUACUGCACCAUAACAGUUGGCAGUGUGUGCAAGGUGCAGGGUUGCUGCAUCAGUGCAUGUUGACCUCAUUACUUCAUGCCGGUCUCUCCAGGAAGAUUACAUGAAGAGGUUAGGCUGAAUGUUAAGAGCCCAUCAGGAUAUUAACAGGUGGAGCCAUGCACCGUGUUUAAAUCACAAGGAGACGGAGUAGAUGCACCGGUCGGAGCAGAAGAAUCUGGAAGUUGUAUAAGGAAUGUCGCUAGACAAUGAGGGUGUGACCGACAAGUCACCAUGUGGCUUUCAUGACCGCGAUGGCUGGUUGUACUGUGAUGACCUGCCUGUCUCCCAACUCCAUCAACAACUUCGGUCGUCUGCCAUUUGGCCGUCGUCGCCUGCCUUCGUGUACAGCAGACGACGCAUAGAGCAGAACGUGCAUGCCUACCGAGAUGCUUUGCGCCUUCUGCCGGUUCCUUCAGUUCUCCACUUCUCUGUCAAAGCCAACCACAACCUGCAGAUUCUGUCGCUCCUACAGUCUCUUGGCUGUGGUGUGACCCUGGUGAGUGGGAUGGAGCUGAAGGUAGCCAAGGCAGCAGGCUUCAGUGCAGACAGCAUGUUGUUGAAUGGGUCAGGCAAGACUGCAUGGGAAGUUACUGAAGCCGUAAAAGAAGGCGUGUUACUCAAUGUGGACAGUGAAUUUGACUUGCAACAGCUGCUAAAAGUCUGUCAGGAGCUUGGGCUGAAAGCCAGGGUGCUGCUGAGGCUGAAUCUAGAUAUUGACCCUAUGGUGCAUCAAUAUGUAAGCACAGGCAAGGUGGGAUCAAAGUUCGGCCUUGAUGCAAUAGCGUUGAAUCGUGUCCUUCAUAUUCUGUCAUCAGAUGAGUGUCCUGUGCAUGUUGUUGGUCUGCAUUGCCACCUUGGGUCCACCAUCACUAACUCUGAUGUGCUCAGGGAGAGUGUAGCAAGGAUGCUGGAACAACGGCAGGAGCUGAAAAGGCAAGGCUUGCAAGAUCUUCGGCUCAUUAAUAUUGGAGGUGGCUUAGGUAUUGACUACACAUGUCAGAGAGAUGAAACUAAACCUUAUCGACUGGAAGAAAAGGAGUUCAGAACUGACCUAGACAACCUCCGUGACCACUUUAUUAAAGCUGCUGCUGAAGAAGAGAAUGUAGACAGGAAGGAACUGCUGCAGUCUGUUGUCAGCAGCAUAGACAGCUACAGUCAAGAAAGGGUGACACGUGCUGAGCUAGAUAAGAACCUGACAGAAAAACUAGGUCUUUUGGGAAUGACAGAUGAAGCAUGUGAAAACUAUUCAGCCAUUUUUGGAAGCAAAAAGUGUGUACCUUCACCAUCCAGUCUUACUGAGGCUAUUGCAGGUUUAUUCCAAAGUCCUCGAGAUGAUGAUGUCACUGUGAUGGUGGAACCUGGCCGCUCUAUUGUAGGUGAUGCAGGGGCCCUUGUGACUUCUGUUCUAGGGUGCAAGAUGUCAGGGGCUAAAAGGUUUGUUGUGGUGGAUGGUGCCAUGACAGAAGUUAUCCGCCCCAGUCUUUAUGGAGCGUAUCACCACAUCCAGCUGGCUGCUCCAUGCUCCAGCGUCCUUCCUAGUCUCGAUGCUGCAUAUUCAGCCUGUGGGUUGCUUUCCAACCAAAACACUUGGGGAACUUCAAGUUGUGGAUGUGGUUGGACCAGUGUGCGAAAGCACUGAUUUUUUGGGAAAAGAUCGCCUGUUACCUGUGCCACCACCAGGUGCCUGUGCUGUAGUGAGGGACACAGGUGCAUACUGUGCUUCCAUGGCAUCAAACUACAAUCUCAGGUUAAGGCCUGCUGAAGUGCUUGUGGAGGGCAACACCUGGCGACUUAUUAGAAAACCAGAUUGCUUGGAGGACAUACUGCACAAUUAUAUAGUGGAGACAUGAAUGUUAGAAGUCAUAGAAAGUAGAAGAAUUGGAAACUUUUUAAAGCAUUAUUCAGCAAAAUUUGCUGAUUAUAAACUUUGGUUCAUGAAAAGAGUAUGUUUCAUCUGUAGGUUGUUUCAAAUAACCUGCUUUAGAAGCGAUGAAAGAUGAAGCUUUGGAAAACAGCCUGACACUGCAGUGAAUGGGAAUAUAAAACAUAAAACUUUGGUGACAGGAGUGUUGCCAAUUUUAAUUGUGUGAAUUAACCAUUAUAGGCAUGAUACCUUGUUGGAAUGGGCAAAAGUC
rnacentral:misc_RNA from 1 species